rnacentral:rRNA from 1 species
UACGUAGGGGGCAAGCGUUGUCCGGAAUCAUUGGGCGUAAAGAGCGUGUAGGCGGCCUGAUAAGUCGGUUGUGAAAGUCAAGGGCUCAACCCUUGAAUGCCGGCCGAUACUGUCAGGCUAGAGUCCGGAAGAGGCGAGUGGAAUUCCUGGUGUAGCGGUGAAAUGCGCAGAUAUCAGGAAGAACACCAAUGGCGAAGGCAGCUCUCUGGGACGGUACUGACGCUGAGACGCGAAAGCGUGGGGAGCGAACAGG